UUCCAGACUCCUACGGGAGGCAGCAGUGAGGAAUAUUGGUCAAUGGCCGAGAGGCUGAACCAGCCAAGUCGCGUGAGGGAAGACGGCCCUACGGGUUGUAAACCUCUUUUGCCGGGGAGCAAGCGUGCGUUCGUGAACGCGCGUCGAGAGUACCCGGAGAAAAAGCAUCGGCUAACUCCGUGCCAGCAGCCGCGGUAAUACGGAGGAUGCGAGCGUUAUCCGGAUUUAUUGGGUUUAAAGGGUGCGUAGGCGGGAUGCCAAGUCAGCGGUAAAAAUGCGGUGCUCAACGCCGUCGAGCCGUUGAAACUGGCGUUCUUGAGUGGGCGAGAAGUAUGCGGAAUGCGUGGUGUAGCGGUGAAAUGCAUAGAUAUCACGCAGAACUCCGAUUGCGAAGGCAGCAUACCGGCGCCCUACUGACGCUGAGGCACGAAAGCGUGGGUAUCGAACAGGAUUAGAUACCCCGGUAA
rnacentral:rRNA from 1 species